AUUGAACGCUGGCGGCAGGCUUAACACAUGCAAGUCGAACGAGUGGCGGACGGGUGAGUAAUGUUGGGGAAUCUACCUUAUGGAGGGGGAUAAAUACUGGAAACUGUAGCUAAUACCGCAUACCAUAGGAUGACCCCAAAUGGGGUUAGGUAGUUGGUGAGGUAAAGGAUCACCAAGCCGACGACCCCUGGCUGGUCUGAGAGGAUGACCGGACACACUGGAAAUGAGACACGGCCCAGACUCCAACGGGAGCAAGCAGUGGGGAAUAUUGCGCAAUGGGGGCAACUCUGACGCAGCCAUGCCGAGUGUAUGAAGAAGGCCUUCGGGUUGUAAAGUUCUUUCAGUAGGGAGGCGUUACCUGCAGAAGAAGCACCGGCUAACUCCGUGCCAGCCGCCGCGGUAAUAC
rnacentral:rRNA from 1 species